rnacentral:misc_RNA from 1 species
GAGAAAGAGAGAGAGAGAGAGAGUCUUUGGCAUGUGUUGGAGACAGAGAGAGUAGAUUUUGUGUUCAGGAGAGAAUUAAAUUUGGGUGACAAAAAAAAUGAUUUGGAUGAUUUUGAGUGGGUUGGGUUCAAAUCGGACCUCUUGGGUGAGAGAAAAUGAUUAAUUGGGUCUCUGAAAAUUAAAAUAAGUUAGUCUUAUUUUUUAUUUUUAGAAUUAUGUGUUGGUUGAAAGAAGAAUUGAGUUAAUUAAUUAAUGUGGAGCUGGAAGUAGUUAAAAUAAUUGCCUGAUAAUUUAGAAUAGAUAUUACCUGAUAAUCUCCUUAAAUCAAGUUACAGGAACAGUUGAACUAAGGUGCAGAUUAUUGAUGUAGCAAGCUUGGCCACCAAGCAAACUUGAUGCAGCAGUUAACCCAUAUAUCCUGCUGCCAGAAAAUAAUGUCAUAGUAUCCAGCUUAAUGCAAACCCCGAGACGAUACUUGCACAUGAAUACAGUUGAGUUUCAGGUUUCAGCAAUUUAUUGAGCUGCUUGAUGCUACCUACGUAUAGUUUUGCACUAUAUAUGUGGAAAUAUAGAAAGACGACAACCCCACCCAGUUAAGGAGGUUUCCCUAAUAGAUCAUUGCCAAUUACAGGCCAGGUAUGAUCUCUCCUCAUUUCUUGACUUUACUAUUCAUUCAUCACAACUAGUGUUUUAUUUCAUUAUUAGAUAUACGACAUGGAAAAUCAAGGACCAAGUCCCCUGUUGCUGUGUUGCUUACCCUCUUUACCACCCACGUGUAACCCUCCAUGUCCUACCCAUGAACCUCUUUCAUUUUCCUCCGCCCACGUGUCUGGCAUUUCUACACCCAGAGACAAAUAUGCUCUCUCUUCUCUAAGCACUCCUCCCUCAAAUUCCUCCUGCAACACACAUUCGCUGCCUUUCUUCUCAAAUAUCAAUAAUGGUUCAUUCCCAAUGCAUCAAAAUCGUAUCAGAGACGCAGACAAACUAGAAACCCCACUACCAACAAGAAUAGAGACAUGAGAACUAGGCGUGACAAGAGAAUGGCCAUGGCUAAACGCGGUAUCCGAUCGCUAGCCAUAGCAGUUGCUUUCCCUCUCGCUUUGACCCUAUUCAAUAUCUAUUUAUUUGGCUCCAUUAAUGGUUAUGGCGCCGUAUCAAAACCUUUUCGAUUCCUUCCCAUGUGGGCUCUACACUUCACCUACUUGGCUUCCAGCUCCUUAAUGGGACUCUCCGCUUGGCUUGUUUGGGCUGAAGGCGGGUUCCAUAGAGAACCAACGAUCCUUUCUCUUUACAUGGCACAACUUGGUCUUAGUUUGGCAUGGGACCCGAUUGUGUUCCGUAUGGGAGAGACUUGGAUAGGUUUGGUUGUGUGCUUGGCUAUGUUUGGGGCUCUCGUUGGGUGUUCUCGUCAAUUCAAAGAAGUGAAUCCAAUCGCUGGCGAUUUGGUUAAGCCUUGUUUGGCAUGGGCCACAAUUUUAGCCAUUGUAAAUCUAAAGCUUGUUUUUCUUUGAAAUUUGAAAAGUUGAAAAAUUGAUGUACAGGCUAGAGGGGAUAUUGUUGAUAAAUGGUACUCAGAUGGUGCCUUUGUAAACUUCUCAC